ACCCAGCUGACCAGUCCCGAAUAAGACGAAACGCGCGUUAUGGGU
rnacentral:hammerhead_ribozyme from 1 species